rnacentral:rRNA from 1 species
AUUGAACGCUGGCGGCAGGCCUAACACAUGCAAGUCGAGCGCGCGUCGGGCGGGUGAGUAAUGUAUGUGGAUAUGCCCGAUAGGGGGGGAUAACUAGUGGGAACGGUAGCGCUUACCGCAUACAAUCGGAUGAACCCAGAUGGGAUUUGCUAGUUGGUGAGGGAAUGGCUCACCAAGGCGACGCGCCCUAGCUGGUCUGAGAGGAUGAUCAGCCACACUGGGACUGAGACACGGUCCAGACUCCUACGGGAGGCAGCAGUGGGGAAUAUUGCACAAUGGGCGCAAGCCUGAUGCAGCCAUGCCGCGUGUAUGAAGAAGGCCUUCGGAUUGUAAAGUACUUUAAGUUGGGAGGCGUUACCAACAGAAUAAGCACCGGCUAACUUCGUGCCAGCAGCCGCGGUAAUAC